rnacentral:tRNA from 1 species
CCGUUGGUCAAGUGGUUAAGACACCGCCCUUUCACGGCGGUAACACGGGUUCGAAUCCCGUACGGGUCA